rnacentral:rRNA from 1 species
GAACGGGGAUUACACGGCGAUGCGAUUUCGGUCUUAUCAAGUGCAAUCUUAGUGGCGGACGGGUGAGUAACGCGUGGGUAACCUGCCUUGCACUGGGGGAUAACACUUCUAAAUAGGUGCUAAUACCGCAUAAGCGCACGGUCCUGCAUGGGACAGUGUGAAAAACUCCGGUGGUGCAAGAUGGACCCGCGUCUGAUUAGCUGGUUGGCGGGGUAAAGGCCCACCAAGGCGACGAUCAGUAGCCGGCCUGAGAGGGUGGACGGCCACAUUGGGACUGAGACACGGCCCAAACUCCUACGGGAGGCAGCAGUGGGGGAUAUUGGACAAUGGGGGGAACCCUGAUCCAGCGACGCCGCGUGAGUGAAGAAGUAUUUCGGUAUGUAAAGCUCUGUCAUCAGGGAAGAAAGCAAUGACGGUACCUGACCAAGAAGCCCCGGCUAACUACGUGCCAGCAGCCGCGGUAAUACGUAGGGGGCAAGCGUUAUCCGGAAUUACUGGGUGUAAAGGGAGCGUACACGGCUGUGCAAGUCUGGAGUGAAAGGCGGGGGCCCAACCCCCCGGACUGCUCUGGAAACUGUAUGGCUGGNUGCCGGGGGGGUCCGCGGCCUUCCCNGNGNGCGGGNNNNGCGNGCUCUUCGAGGNNCCCCNNNNCNNNNCNNCNNNCNNNCNNNNNCNNNCNNNNNGCUCNNNAGCNGNGGACCUUUUAAGGAGNNNCCNNNNNNUCCNCNCANNNNCGACCCUUAAAGAAUCGGAGGGUAUGGACCCUCCGGUGCCGCAGCAAACGCAGUAAGUAAUCCACCUGGGGAGUACGUUCGCAAGAAUGAAACUCAAAGGAAUUGACGGGGACCCGCACAAGCGGUGGAGCAUGUGGUUUAAUCCGAAGCAACGCGAAGAACCUUACCAAGUCUUGACAUCUGGAUGACAGGGACGUAACAGUCCCCUUACUUCGGUACAUCCAAGACAGGUGGUGCAUGGUUGUCGUCAGCUCGUGUCGUGAGAUGUUGGGUUAAGUCCCGCAACGAGCGCAACCCUUAUCCUUAGUAGCCAGCGGGCAGGGCCGGGCACUCUAGGGAGACUGCCGGGGAUAACCCGGAGGAAGGUGGGGAUGACGUCAAAUCAUCAUGCCCCUUAUGAUUUGGGCUACACACGUGCUACAAUGGAGUAAACAGAGGGAAGCGAACCCGCGAGGGGGAGCAAAUCCCAAAAAUAACGUCCCAGUUCGGAUUGUAGCCUACAACCCGGCUACAUGAAGCUGGAAUCGCUAGUAAU